GACGAACGCUGGCGGCGUGCUUAACACAUGCAAGUCGAACGGAAAGGCCCUGCUUUUGUGGGGUGCUCGAGUGGCGAACGGGUGAGUAACCCGUGAGUAACCUGCCCUUGACUUUGGGAUAUCCUCAGGCAACUGGGGCUAAUACCGGAUAGGAGCUCCUGCUGCAUGGUGGGGGUUGGAAAGUUUCGGCGGUUGGGGAUGGACUCGCGGCUUAUCAGCUUGUUGGUUGGGUAGUGGCUUACCAAGGCUUUGACGGGUAGCCGGCCUGAGAGGGUGACCGGCCACAUUGGGACUGAGAUACGGCCCAGACUCCUACGGGAGGCAGCAGUGGGGAAUAUUGCACAAUGGGCGGAAGCCUGAUGCAGCAACGCCGCGUGCGGGAUGACGGCCAUCGGGUUGUAAACCGCUUUCGCCUGUGACGAAGCGUGAGUGACGGUAAUGGGUAAAGAAGCACCGGCUAACUACGUG
rnacentral:rRNA from 1 species